rnacentral:rRNA from 1 species
GACGAACGCUGGCGGCGUGCUUAACACAUGCAAGUCGAACGAUGAACCCGGAGCUUGCUCCGGUGGAGUAGUGGCGAACGGGUGAGUAACACGUGAGUAACCUGCCCUUGACUCUGGGAUAACUGAGGGCAACUGUAGCUAAUACCGGCUACGACCCUCGGCGGCAUCGCCAGGGGGUGGGAAGAAUUUCGGUCAAGGAUGGACUCGCGGCCUAUCCGCUAGAUGGUGAAGUAACGGCUCACCAAGGCGACGACGGGUAGCCGACCUGAGAGGGUGACCGGCCACACUGGGACUGAGACACGGCCCAGACUCCUACGGGAGGCAGCAGUGGGGAAUAUUGCACAAUGGGCGCAAGCCUGAUGCAGCAACGCCGCGUGAGGGAUGACGGCCUUCGGGUUGUAAACCUCUUUUAGUAGGGAAGAAGCGAAAAUGACGGUACCUGCAGAAAAAGCACCGGCUAACUACGUGCCAGCCGCCGCCGUAA